rnacentral:tRNA from 1 species
CACUGUAUAGCUACUCCAGCAUUAACCUUUUAAGUUAAAGA